rnacentral:piRNA from 1 species
UGGGAACAGAUGCUAUAUCUUCCAAAG